rnacentral:rRNA from 1 species
UGAUCCGGAGAUUUCCGAAUGGGGGAACCCACCUCGCAAGAGGUAUCGCAUACUGAAUACAUAGGUAUGCGAGGCGAACCGGGUGAACUGAAACAUCUCAGUAGCUCGAGGAAAAGACAUCAACCGAGAUUCCGAAAGUAGUGGCGAGCGAAAUCGGAACAGCCUGUGCUCUUUAGCAAGACUCUUAUCAGAACGGAAUGGAAAGUCCGGCCAGAGCGGGUGAUAGCCCCGUAUGGAAAAAGAGAUUUGUGGAACUAAGUGCACGACAAGUAGGGCGGGACACGUGAAAUCCUGUCUGAAUAUGGGGGGACCAUCCUCCAAGGCUAAAUACUCGUAAUCGACCGAUAGUGAACUAGUACCGUGAGGGAAAGGCGAAAAGAACCCCGGGAGGGGAGUGAAAUAGAUCCUGAAACCGCAUGCAUACAAAAAGUAGGAGCCCUCAGGGGUGACUGCGUACCUUUUGUAUAAUGGGUCAGCGACUUACAUUCAGUGGCAAGCUUAACCGAAUAGGGAAGGCGAAGGGAAACCGAGUCCGAAUAGGGCGUCUAGUCGCUGGGUGUAGACCCGAAACCAGGUGAUCUAUCCAUGGCCAGGAUGAAGGUGCGGUAACACGCACUGGAGGUCCGAACCGACUAGUGUUGCAAAACUAGCGGAUGAGCUGUGGAUAGGGGUGAAAGGCUAAACAAACCUGGAGAUAGCUGGUUCUCUCCGAAAACUAUUUAGGUAGUGCCUCAAGUAUUACCAUCGGGGGUAGAGCACUGUUAUGGCUAGGGGGUCAUGGCGACUUACCAAACCAUUGCAAACUCCGAAUACCGAUGAGUACAGCUUGGGAGACAGAGCACCGGGUGCUAACGUCCGGACUCAAGAGGGAAACAACCCAGACCGCCAGCUAAGGUCCCCAAAAUUGGCUAAGUGGGAAACGAAGUGGGAAGGCUAAAACAGUCAGGAUGUUGGCUUAGAAGCAGCCAUCAUUUAAAGAAAGCGUAAUAGCUCACUGAUCGAGUCGUCCUGCGCGGAAGAUGUAACGGGGCUAAGCCAGUUACCGAAGCUGCGGAUUCACAGUUUACUGUGAGUGGUAGGAGAGCGUUCUGUACGCCUGUGAAGGUGGAUCGUGAGGUCUGCUGGAGGUAUCAGAAGUGCGAAUGCUGACAUGAGUAGCGUUAAAGGGGGUGAAAAGCCCCCUCGCCGUAAGCGCAAGGUUUCCUACGCAACGUUCAUCGGCGUAGGGUGAGUCGGCCCCUAAGGCGAGGCAGAGAUGCGUAGCUGAUGGGAAACAGGUCAAUAUUCCUGUACCGAUCUAUAGUGCGAUGUGGGGACGGAGAAGGUUAGCUCAGCCAACUGUUGGAAAUGUUGGUUCAAGCCUGUAGUCGUGCCUGGUAGGCAAAUCCGCCGGGCUUAGAUGAGGGGUGAUAACGAGUCUGCUUGCAGACGAAGUGAGUGAUACCCUGCUUCCAGGAAAAGCCACUAAGCUUCAGCUAUAGACGACCGUACCGCAAACCGACACUGGUGCGCGUGAUGAGUAUUCUCAGGCGCUUGAGAGAACUCUGGAGAAGGAACUCGGCAAAUUGACACCGUAACUUCGGAAGAAGGUGUGCCUUUAGUAGGUGUAUGGAUUUACUCCAGAAGCCCAAUGAGGCCGCAGAGAAUCGGUGGCUGCGACUGUUUAUUAAAAACACAGCACUCUGCAAAGACGAAAGUCGACGUAUAGGGUGUGACGCCUGCCCGGUGCUGGAAGAUUAAAUGAUGGGGUGCAAGCUCUUGAUUGAAGUCCCAGUAAACGGCGGCCGUAACUAUAACGGUCCUAAGGUACGAAAUUCCUUGUCGGGUAAGUUCCGACCUGCACGAAUGGCGUAACGAAGGCCACACUGUCUCCUCCAGAGACUCAGCGAAGUUGAAAUGUUUGUGAUGAUGCAAUCUCCCCGCGGAAAGACGGAAAGACCCCAUGA